AUUAAUCUUGGCAGGCAGGCCCAGCGCUGAUGUGUUCAUUGUGAUGCAGGAACAGAGGGACCCAUUGCUGUGUAAAAUACCAUAAAAUCCAUCUUGUUCUGCAAAAGGUAGGACCAGGGUGAGCUGCUAUUUCCAUAGAGUAAGUAUUUCUUCACCGGAGUUUGCAAGCCAUGUAAAAUGAAUGAGUUAGUGUUCAGCGGAGGCCUCCAUCCUACCCAGAAAUCCCAUAGAAACAAGGGCAGAUUUACGCUUUCGAGAAAUUACUUUUU